CAGUAGCCGCGGUAAUACGUAGGGUGCGAGCGUUAAUCGGAAUUACUGGGCGUAAAGCGUGCGCAGGCGGUUUUGUAAGACAGGCGUGAAAUCCCCGGGCUCAACCUGGGAAUGGCGCUUGUGACUGCAAAGCUAGAGUGCGGCAGAGGGGGAUGGAAUUCCGCGUGUAGCAGUGAAAUGCGUAGAUAUGCGGAGGAACACCGAUGGCGAAGGCAAUCCCCUGGGCCUGCACUGACGCUCAUGCACGAAAGCGUGGGGAGCAAACAGGAUUAGAUACCCGAGUAGUCCCUGUCUCUUAUAC
rnacentral:rRNA from 1 species